CUCUUCAAUUUCUUUCAUCAAUGUUUUGUAGUUUCAUUGUAGGGAUCUUUCACAUCUUUGGUUUAGUUUAUUUCUAGGUAUUUUAAUUAUAGGAAUUAUAA